rnacentral:rRNA from 1 species
GCAGUCGAGCGGAGAUGAGGUGCUUGCACCUUAUCUUAGCGGCGGACGGGUGAGUAAUGCUUAGGAAUCUGCCUAUUAGUGGGGGACAACAUUCCGAAAGGAAUGCUAAUACCGCAUACGCCCUACGGGGGAAAGCAGGGGAUCUUCGGACCUUGCGCUAAUAGAUGAGCCUAAGUCGGAUUAGCUAGUUGGUGGGGUAAAGGCCUACCAAGGCGACGAUCUGUAGCGGGUCUGAGAGGAUGAUCCGCCACACUGGGACUGAGACACGGCCCAGACUCCUACGGGAGGCAGCAGUGGGGAAUAUUGGACAAUGGGCGGAAGCCUGAUCCAGCCAUGCCGCGUGUGUGAAGAAGGCCUUUUGGUUGUAAAGCACUUUAAGCGAGGAGGAGGCUACUUAGAUUAAUACUCUAGGAUAGUGGACGUUACUCGCAGAAUAAGCACCGGCUAACUCUGUGCCAGCAGCCGCGGUAAUACAGAGGGUGCGAGCGUUAAUCGGAUUUACUGGGCGUAAAGCGUGCGUAGGCGGCUGAUUAAGUCGGAUGUGAAAUCCCUGAGCUUAACUUAGGAAUUGCAUUCGAUACUGGUCAGCUAGAGUAUGGGAGAGGAUGGUAGAAUUCCAGGUGUAGCGGUGAAAUGCGUAGAGAUCUGGAGGAAUACCGAUGGCGAAGGCAGCCAUCUGGCCUAAUACUGACGCUGAGGUACGAAAGCAUGGGGAGCAAACAGGAUUAGA